rnacentral:rRNA from 2 species
GCUUUUGUACACACCGCCCGUCGCUACUACCGAUUGAAUGAUUUAGUGAGGUCUUCGGACUGGUACGCGGCAUCGACUCUGUCGUUGCCGAUGCUACCGGAAAGAUGACCAAACUUGAUCAUUUAGAGGAAGUAAAAGUCGCAACAAGGUUUCCGUAGGUGAACCUGCGGAAGGAUCAUUA